rnacentral:rRNA from 1 species
CACGUAGGGGGCAAGCGUUGUCCGGAUUUAUUGGGCGUAAAGAGCUCGUAGGCGGCUCAGUAAGUCGGGUGUGAAACCUCCAGGCUCAACCUGGAGACGCCACCUGAUACUGCUGUGGCUAGAGUCCGGUAGGGGAGCGUGGAAUUCCUGGUGUAGCGGUGAAAUGCGUAGAUAUCAGGAGGAACACCGGUGGCGAAGGCGGCUUUCUGGACAGUAACUGACGCUGAGGCGCGAAAGCCGGGGGAGCAAACAGG